rnacentral:rRNA from 1 species
AUACGUAGGGUGCGAGCGUUGUCCGGAAUUACUGGGCGUAAAGAGCUCGUAGGUGGUUUGUCGCGUCGUCUGUGAAAUUCCGGGGCUUAACUCCGGGCGUGCAGGCGAUACGGGCAUAACUUGAGUACUGUAGGGGAGACUGGAAUUCCUGGUGUAGCGGUGAAAUGCGCAGAUAUCAGGAGGAACACCGGUGGCGAAGGCGGGUCUCUGGGCAGUAACUGGCGCUGAGGAGCGAAAGCAUGGGUAGCUAACAGGAUUAGAUACCCUGGUAGUCCAUGCCGUAAACGGUGGGCGCUAGGUGUAGGGGUCUUCCACGACUUCUGUGCCGUAGCUAACGCAUUAAGCGCCCCGCCUGGGGAGUACGGCCGCGAGGCUAAAACUCAAAGGAAUUGACGGGG